CCUGCUCCCCUCCCCCCUCCACCUUUAUUCGCACAAAUGAAUGUGGCUGGGCUGGCGCAGAGCCUGGCCCUGCAUCUUAAUGGGGCGGUGAGCUCACAAGAUGGAUUUAGCUGGGGGUUUUAUGGUUGCCGCGGCGACAGAAUGCUUUGGUUUUCUUUCCCCCUUCCUCUGCAGGAUUCUGAGGAGGGGCAAGUGUGGGGAGCCCUCCUCUGCACGGCCAUGGGCAGGGGGGCCUCGGCCACCUCUACUGCUCGUGAGAUGGGCCUGCGAUGGCAGGAUUAAGCAAGGGAGACCGCAGCAGGGCCUCAGAUGGGGAAGGUCGGGCAAGGAAGGGCAAGGAGUCCUUCCUGACCAUUCUCUUUGCAAAGUUCAAGGAGCAGAGAUCUGGACUUACGGGAGUGGCUCUGAAGGCUGGAUCGCAAAGAUUUUAAGAUGAGAAGACAGAGAAAGUCAAAGUGGACCCAGCCCAAAGCGACUCACCUGUCUCCCAAGUUCAAUUCUCUCUCCAGUGGAAGAAGUCCAGUUCACUGAAAGAACAGUCCUGGGCACUGAAGCUCCCGGCCGGAGGUACCCUGCUCUCCUGUCUCCUAUUAUACUAGCCUGAAAGAACAGAAAACUCCUGAGUUACCCAAUCGCAGCCACUUCCUCCCUUACCUCCUGAACUACUCAUUGAGCUCUGACUGGUGAAAGACUUACCCCAAAGUCAUCUCACUUCUUGCUGAGGCCCAAGUUCCAUUUCCUUCCGCUCUUUUUGUCAAGAAUUGUCAGGAGGGCC